AACGCGAAGAACCUUACCUACUUUUGACAUCCCGCGAAUCCGGCUGAGAGGCUGGAGUGCCGAAAGGAAUGCGGAGACAGGUGCUGCAUGGCUGUCGUCAGCUCGUGUUGUGAGAUGUUGGGUUAAGUCCCGUAACGAGCGCAACCCUUGUCCUUAGUUACCAGCACGUAAAGGUGGGAACUCUAAGGAGACUGCCGGUGAUGAACCGGAGGAAGGCGGGGACGACGUCAAGUCAUCAUGGCCUUUAUAAGUAGGGCUACACACGUGCUACAAUGGGGCGUACAGAGGGUAGCCAACCCGCGAGGGGGAGCCAAUCUCAGAAAGCGCCUCGUAGUCCAGAUUGAAGUCUGCAAUUCGACUUCAUGAAGUCGGAAUCGCUAGUAAUCGCGAAUCAGCAUUGUCGCGGUGAAUACGUUCCCGGGCCUUGUACACACCGUAGAGAC
rnacentral:rRNA from 1 species